rnacentral:rRNA from 1 species
AAUCGCUAGUAAUCGCGGAUCAGGAUGCCGCGGUGAAUACGUUCCCGGGUCUUGUACACACCGCCCGUCACACCAUGGGAGUCGGAAAUGCCCGAAGUCUGUGACCCAACCUACGGGAGGGAGCAGCCGAAGGCAGGUCGGAUGACUGGGGUGAAGUCGUAACAAGGUAUC